rnacentral:rRNA from 1 species
UACGUAGGGUGCGAGCGUUUAAUCGGAAUUACUGGGCGUAAAGCGUGCGCAGGCGGUUAUUUAAGUCAGGUGUGAAAGCCCUGGGCUUAACCUAGGAAUUGCGCUUGAGACUGGAUAGCUUGGAGUGCGGCAGAGGGAGGUGGAAUUCCACGUGUAGCAGUGAAAUGCGUAGAGAUGUGGAGGAACACCGAUGGCGAAGGCAGCCUCCUGGGCCAGCACUGACGCUGAGGAGCGAAAGCGUGGGGAGCGAACAGG